GACGAACGCUGGCGGCGUGCUUAACACAUGCAAGUCGAGCGGUAAGGCCCUUUCGGGGGUACACGAGCGGCGAACGGGUGAGUAACACGUGGGUGACCUGCCCUCAGCUCUGGGAUAAGCCUGGGAAACCGGGUCUAAUACCGGAUAUGACUCCAUGACGCAUGUUGUGGGGUGGAAAGCCUUGUGCGGCUGAGGAUGGGCCCGCGGCCUAUCAGCUUGUUGGUGGGGUGAUGGCCUACCAAGGCGACGACGGGUAGCCGGCCUGAGAGGGCGACCGGCCACACUGGGACUGAGACACGGCCCAGACUCCUACGGGAGGCAGCAGUGGGAAUCUUGCGCAAUGGGCGAAAGCCUGACGCAGCGACGCCGCGUGAGGGAUGAC
rnacentral:rRNA from 1 species